CGGGGGGAGCAAGCGUUGUUCGGAUUUACUGGGCGUAAAGGGCGGGUAGGCGGCCACUGCAAGUCGGUUGUGAAAUCUCCGGGCUUAACUCGGAAAGGUCAAUCGAUACUGCAGGGCUAGAGUGCAGAAGGGGCAACUGGAAUUCUCGGUGUAGCGGUGAAAUGCGUAGAUAUCGAGAGGAACACCUGCGGCGAAGGCGGGUUGCUGGGCUGACACUGACGCUGAACUGCGAAAGCUAGGGGGAGCGAACGGGAUUAGAUACCCCGGUAGUCCUAGCCUUAAACGAUGAAUGCUUGGUGUCUGGGGUUUUAUAGUCCCCGGGUGCCGUCGCUAACGCUUUAAGCAUUCCGCCUGGGGAGUACGGUCGCAAGACUG
rnacentral:rRNA from 1 species